rnacentral:rRNA from 1 species
UACGGAGGAUCCGAGCGUUAUCCGGAUUUAUUGGGUUUAAAGGGAGCGUAGGUGGAUUGUUAAGUCAGUUGUGAAAGUUUGUGGCUCAACCGUAAAAUUGCAGUUGAAACUGGCAGUCUUGAGUACAGUAGAGGUGGGCGGAAUUCGUGGUGUAGCGGUGAAAUGCUUAGAUAUCACGAAGAACUCCGAUUGCGAAGGCAGCUCACUAGACUGUCACUGACACUGAUGCUCGAAAGUGUGGGUAUCAAACAGG